UAGUCCACGCUGUAAACGAUGAUCACUAGGUGGCUUGUUCUUUAUGGAUAAGUGCCCAAGGGAAACCGAUAAGUGAUCCACCUGGGGAGUACGUUGGCAACAAUGAAACUCAAAGGAAUUGACGGGGGCCCGCACAAGCGGUGGAGCAUGUGGUUUAAUUCGAUGAUACGCGAGGUACCUUACCUGGGCUCGAACGCUAUUGGACAGUCUAUGAAAGUAGAUUUUUCUUCGGAACCGAUAGUGAGGUGCUGCAUGGUUGUCGUCAGCUCGUGCCGUGAGGUGUUGGGUUAAGUCCCGCAACGAGCGCAACCCUUAUCUUUAGUUGCCAGCAUGUAAUGAUGGGGACUCUAAAGAGACUGCCUCCGUAAGGAGUGAGGAAGGUGGGGAUGACGUCAAAUCAUCAUGGCCUUUAUGCCCAGGGCUACACACGUGCUACAAUGGCCAGUACAGAGGGUCGCGAAACCGUGAGGUGGAGCCAAGUCUCGAGAAAGCUGGUCUUAGUUCGGAUC
rnacentral:rRNA from 1 species